AUACUAUAAGAGAUUUUAGAUCCUAUAUAUACCGCUAAAUUCGUCAGUUUUUCAUCCGUUAUCCACUAUCCUUUCUUCGUAAGGUAACCAACGGCUAAACAGAUAUUUUAGGUGUUACUGAUUCAUCUCAAAAUGACAGUUCCAGUUUCUUACUUUGCUGUUCUUGCCAUCGUUGUUCUGCAGUCUAUGAAUGCAGCUACAAUAUUUGACCCAGAUCUGGAUAUUCACUGGGAAAACUUUAAGAGAACAUUUCAAAAGCAAUACAGUGGAUCCGAGGAAGGAGCAAGACGACUCAUCUUUGAAGGUCAUGUCA